rnacentral:rRNA from 1 species
UACGAAGGGGGCUAGCGUUGCUCGGAAUCACUGGGCGUAAAGGGUGCGUAGGCGGGUCUUUUAAGUCAGGGGUGAAAUCCUGGAGCUCAACUCCAGAACUGCCUUUGAUACUGAAGAUCUUGAGUUCGGGAGAGGUGAGUGGAACUGCGAGUGUAGAGGUGAAAUUCGUAGAUAUUCGCAAGAACACCAGUGGCGAAGGCGGCUCACUGGCCCGGUACUGACGCUGAGGUGCGAAAGCGUGGGGA